UAAAUAUAUUCUACCACGAAAGUAAAAUUUCGUUGUAUGUAAUAUACAAAAGCCGGUAAAAAUACUUACCUGUCAACAAGGAUAUUUAAAAGUUUAUGUAAGUAAUACUUUUUGUUUAAAACUUGUUAGGCAAAGACAAUAAUUUAUGACAGAACUCUGUAAGCUGUGGUAGCGUCAGACAAUCCUUGUUCUGAAUAACACUCCCUUUAUUAUUAUAAAAUAUUCAGUAUAAUGUUUAUAACAUUUUGCUUAGUUUGUAAUUUAUUUGAUAAUUAUGUAACCAACAGUUCAAACAGCAGGCAUCUGAAAUGACCCUAACCAAUGUGUCUAGAAAACCCUCUCGUCGGUACAUUUGGGGUACUGGGUAAACUUGUAUUCAAUAUAAUAGAAGCAGUCAUAAGGGCAUUGAUUGAAAUCACUAUCACGACGGCGACGUACACCGCAGCUACAGCUAGCUGUAUGAUGUUAACAGCUUUAUUUUUAAGGUAUGGGCUCUGCAGAGACGGUACUUGCUUCAACGAAGGCGUUUUUGGGAACUUUGUCAUCGUAGCCGGGUUUACCAUAGCUAUAUUUGCCGCUUACAACAUAUUUAAAAAAUUGUUUUAAAUUAAGUGUUUUAAUUGUAAGGUUAUGUACACAGCUUUUUAAUAAAGUAGUGAAAUGGAA